UCCUACGGGGCGCAGCAGUGGGGAAUAUUGGGCAAUGGGCGCAAGCCUGACCCAGCAACGCCGCGUGAAGGAAGAAGGCUUUCGGGAUGUAAACUUCUUUUAUGAGGGACGAAAGAAAUGACGGUACCUCAUGAAUAAGCCACGGCUAACUACGUGCCAGCAGCCGCGGUAAUACGUAGGUGGCAAUCGUUAUCCGGAUUUACUGGGUGUAAAGGGCGUGUAGGCGUGACUGCAAGUCAGAUGUGAAAAUUAUUGGCUCAACCCAUAACCUGCAUUUGAACCUGUAGGUCUUUGGUGAUGG
rnacentral:rRNA from 1 species